rnacentral:ncRNA from 1 species
GCUUUAGGUUCACCGCUACCGCGUGAUGAAAAGGGAACCGGGUGAGAAUCCCGGACUGUCCCGCAGCUGUGAGCCGCCAGUUAUCAGCGACAAACAACAAGCCACUGGAAGAAGAUUAAAGAUUAAGAAUUAAUUCCGGGAAGGCAGUUUGCCAGUUGGGCGGCAAAGUCAGAAGACCUGCCUAUGAG